UACGUAGGUGGCAAGCGUUGUCCGGAAUUAUUGGGCGUAAAGCGCGCGCAGGCGGUCCUUUAAGUCUGAUGUGAAAGCCCACGGCUCAACCGUGGAGGGUCAUUGGAAACUGGGGGACUUGAGUACAGAAGAGGAAAGCGGAAUUGACGGUGUAGCGGUGAAAUGCUUAGAUAUCGUCAAGAACACCGAUAGCGAAGGCAGCUUACUAGGCUGUAACUGACGCUGAGGCACGAAAGUGUGGGGAUCAAACAGG
rnacentral:rRNA from 1 species